rnacentral:rRNA from 1 species
UCAAUAAGCGGAGGAAAAGAAACUAACAAGGAUUCCCUUAGUAACGGCGAGUGAAGCGGGAAGAGCUCAAAUUUGUAAUCUGGCGGCUUCCGGUCGUCCGAGUUGUAUUCUGGAGAAGCGUUUUCCGUGCCGGACCGUGUACAAGUCCCUUGGAACAGGGCGUCGUAGAGGGUGAGAAUCCCGUCUCUGACACGGACUGCCGGUGCUCUGUGAUGCGCUCUCGAAGAGUCGAGUUGUUUGGGAAUGCAGCUCAAAAUGGGUGGUAAAUUCCAUCUAAAGCUAAAUAUGGGCGAAAGACCGAUAGCGAACAAGUACCGUGAGGGAAAGAUGAAAAGCACUUUGGAAAGAGAGUUAAACAGUACGUGAAAUUGUUGAAAGGGAAACGCUUGAAGUCAGUCGCGUCUUCCGAGACUCAACCGGGUUCUCGCUCGGUGCACUUCUCGGUGUGACGGGCCAGCAUCRAUUUCGACCGUCGGAGAAAGGCUGGGGAAAGUGGCACGUUGGGGUGUGUAUAGCCCCCUGUUGUAU